UUCUUGGCUCUUGGCUGGGUGCUGAUCUGCUCUGCUCCGCCAUGGUGCAUCACAGGUGUUGGAGUUGGCUGGGAAUUCUUUCAGUUCAAUUGAGUUAGCGCUAAGUUUUUUGCCAUGCUUCCAAUUA